rnacentral:rRNA from 1 species
GCGAAAACUUUACAAUGCUGGCAACAGCGAUAAGGGAACCUCGAGUGCCAGGUUACAAAUCUGGCUGUCGAGAUGCCUAAAAAGUAUUUCAUAGCAAGGGCCGGGCAAGCCCGGUGCCAGCCGCCGCGGUAACACCGGCGGCUCGAGUGGUAACCGUUAUUAUUGGGUCUAAAGGGUCUGUAGCCGGCCGGAUAAGUCUCUUGAGAAAUCUGGCAGCUUAACUGUCAGGCUUUCAGGAGAUACUGUCUGGCUCGAGGCCGGGAGAGGUGAGAGGUACUUCAGGGGUAGGGGUGAAAUCUUGUAAUCCUUGAAGGACCACCAGUGGCGAAGGCGUCUCACCAGAACGGACCUGACGGCAAGGGACGAAAGCUAGGGGCACGAACC